GGGAGGGAGCGAAGGAGGUAGAGAAGAGUGGAGGCGCCAGGGGAGGGAGCGUAGCUUGGUUGCUCCGUAGUACGGCGGCUCGCGAGGAAGAAUCCCGAGCGGGCUCCGGGACGGACAGAGAGGCGGGCGGGGAUGGUGUGCGGGGCUGCGGCUCCUGCGUCCCUCCCAGCGGCGCGUGAGCGGCACUGAUUUGUCCCUGGGGCGGCAGCGCGGACCCGCCCGGAGAUGAGCGUCGAUUAGCAAGGUAAAAGUAACAGAACCAUGGCUCAGUUUCCAACACCUUUUGGUGCAGCCUGGAUAUCUGGGCCAUAACUGUAGAGGAAAGAGCGAAGCAUGAUCAGCAGUUCCAUAGUUUAAAGCCAAUAUCUGGAUUCAUUACUGUGAUCAAGCUAGAAACUUUUUUUUUCAAUCUGGGUUACCUCAACCUGUUUUAGCACAGAUAUGGCACUAGCUGACAUGAAUAAUGAUGGAAGAAUGGAUCAAGUGGAGUUUUCCAUAGCUAUGAAACUUAUCAAACUGAAGCUACAAGGAUAUCAGCUACCCUCUGCACUUCCCCCUGUCAUGAAACAGCAACCAGUUGCUAUUUCUAGCGCACCAGCAUUUGUAUGGGAGGUAUCGCCAGCAUGCCACCGCUUACAGCUGUUGCUCCAGUGCCAAUGGGAUCCAUUCCAGUUGUUGGAAUGUCUCCAACCCUAGUAUCUUCUGUUCCCACAGCAGCUGUGCCCCCCCUGGCUAACGGGGCUCCCCCUGUUAUACAACCUCUGCCUGCAUUUGCUCAUCCUGAGCCACAUUGCCAAAGAGUUCUUCCUUUAGUAGAUCUGGUCCAGGGUCACAACUAAACACUAAAUUACAAAAGGCACAGUCAUUUGAUGUGGCCAGGUCCCACCAGUGGCAGAGUGGGCUGUUCCUCAGUCAUCAAGACUGAAAUACAGGCAAUUAUUCAAUAGUCAUGACAAAACUAUGAGUGGACACUUAACAGUCCCCAAGCAAGAACUAUUCUUAUGCAGUCAAGUUUACCACAGGCUCAGCUGGCUUCAAUAUGAAUCUUUCUGACAUUGAUCAAGAUGGAAAACUUACAGCAGAGGAAUUUAUCCUGGCAAUGCACCUCAUUGAUGUAGCUAUGUCUGGCCAACCACUGCCACCUGUCCUGCCUCCAGAAUACAUUCCACCUUCUUUUAGAGAGUUCGAUCUGGCAGUGGUAUAUCUGUCAUAAGCUCAACAUCUGUAGAUCAGAGGCUACCAGAGGAACCAGUUUUAGAAGAUGAACAACAACAAUUAGAAAAGAAAUUACCUGAACGUUUGAAGAUAAGAAGCGGGAGAACUUUGAACGUGGCAACCUGGAACUGGAGAAACGAAGGCAAGCUCUCCUGGAACAGCAGCGCAAGGAGCAGGAGCGCCUGGCCCAGCUGGAGCGGGCGGAGCAGGAGAGGAAGGAGCGUGAGCGCCAGGAGCAAGAGCGCAAAAGACAACUGGAACUGGAGAAGCAACUGGAAAAGCAGCGGGAGCUAGAACGGCAGAGAGAGGAGGAGAGGAGGAAAGAAAUUGAGAGGCGAGAGCUGCAAAACGGGAACUUGAAAGGCAACGACAACUUGAGUGGGAACGGAAUCGAAGGCAAGAACUACUAAAUCAAAGAAACAAAGAACAAGAGGACAUAGUUGUACUG
rnacentral:lncRNA from 1 species